GUUACGACGCUGGCAGGUCGACGGGAGAACAUCGCCUGCGCUGUUCCGUCUCGCAUCGGGCUUUGUGGGCUUUGGCCAGGGCGAAAAGGAUUGUGUGCGGACCCUGCCUCUGCGCGCUGCCGUGGACGCUGCCGUGGACGCGGGCAGACCGACGGACAGCCCCUGCGGACUCUGCACGGAUACCUGAACCGGACGCCCUCUUGGAUACCUUGGAUACCCCCGCCCCUCAAGCCUCGCGCCUCGCGCCCUCACUGGUCACCAGGACCUCGCCGCGUGAUAGUGCACGCGUUCGUGUGUGUUGGUGCGCGUGCGUGUGCGUGCGCGCGUGCGUUCGCCAGUCCGUCGUGUGUCGUGCUUCCUGUCAUCUUCGAGGCUGCAGCGCCUCCGACUAGCUGGGCCGCGACUGCCAUGCUGACUGCGUCGACUGCGUGCCGACCCGCCGCCGAGGCCCGCCCCCUACGCCCCCUGCGCCCCCUACGCCCCC